rnacentral:rRNA from 1 species
GAUGAACGCUGGCGGCGCGCCUAACACAUGCAAGUCGAACGAUUAAAGCACCUUCGGGUGUGUAUAAAGUGGCGAACGGCUGAGUAACACGUGGGCAACCUGCCCCUUUCAUUGGGAUAGCCACGGGAAACCGUGGAUAAUACCGAAUACUUCGAGACUUCCGCAUGGAAGACUCGAGAAAGCUCCGGCGGAGAGGGAUGGGCCCGCGGCCUGUUAGCUUGUUGGUGGGGUAACGGCCUACCAAGGCAAUGAUGGGUAGCUGGGUUGAGAGACCGACCAGCCAGAUUGGGACUGAGACACGGCCCAGACUCCUACGGGAGGCAGCAGUGGGGAAUCUUGCACAAGGGGCGAAAGCCUGAUGCAGCGACGCCGCGUGCGGGAGGAAGGCCUUCGGGUUGUAAACCGCUUUCAGCAGGGACGAGGCGAAAGUGACGGUACCUGCAGAAGAAGCCCCGGCUAACUACGU